rnacentral:rRNA from 1 species
AUUGAACGCUGGCGGCAGGCCUAACACAUGCAAGUCGAACGGUAACAGGAAACAGCUUGCUGUUUCGCUGACGAGUGGCGGACGGGUGAGUAAUGUCUGGGAAACUGCCUGAUGGAGGGGGAUAACUACUGGAAACGGUAGCUAAUACCGCAUAACGUCGCAAGACCAAAGAGGGGGACCUUCGGGCCUCUUGCCAUCGGAUGUGCCCAGAUGGGAUUAGCUAGUAGGUGGGGUAACGGCUCACCUAGGCGACGAUCCCUAGCUGGUCUGAGAGGAUGACCAGCCACACUGGAACUGAGACACGGUCCAGACUCCUACGGGAGGCAACAGUGGGGAAUAUUGCACAAUGGGCGCAAGCCUGAUGCAGCCAUGCCGCGUGUAUGAAGAAGGCCUUCGGGUUGUAAAGUACUUUCAGCGGGGAUGAAGGGAGUAAAGUUAAUACCUUUGCUCAUUGACGUUACCCGCAGAAGAAGCACCGGCUAACUCCGUG